rnacentral:rRNA from 1 species
UAGGGAAUCUUCCACAAUGGACGCAAGUCUGAUGGAGCAACGCCGCGUGAGUGAAGAAGGCUUUCGGGUCGUAAAACUCUGUUAUUGAAGAAGAACGUGUGUGACAGUAACUGGUCAUGCAGUGACGGUAUUCAAUCAGAAAGUCACGGCUAACUACGUGCCAGCAGCCGCGGUAAUACGUAGGUGGCAAGCGUUGUCCGGAUUUAUUGGGCGUAAAGCGAGUGCAGGCGGUCUUUUAAGUCUGAUGUGAAAAGCCUUCGGCUUAAC